CCUACGGGAGGCAGCAGUGGGGAAUAUUGCACAAUGGGGGGAACCCUGAUGCAGCGACGCCGCGUGAGUGAAGAAGUAUUUCGGUAUGUAAAGCUCUAUCAGCAGGGAAGAAAAUGACGGUACCUGACUAAGAAGCCCCGGCUAACUACGUGCCAGCAGCCGCGGUAAUACGUAGGGGGCAAGCGUUAUCCGGAUUUACUGGGUGUAAAGGGAGCGCAGACGGCUGUGCAAGUCUGGAGUGAAAGGCGGGGGCCCAACCCCCGGACUGCUCUGGAAACUGUAAAGCUGGAGUGCAGGAGAGGUAAGCGGAAUUCCUAGUGUAGCGGUGAAAGGCGUAGAUAUUAGGAGGAACACCAGUGGCGAAGGCGGCUUACUGGACUGCAACUGACGUUGAGGCUCGAAAGCGUGGGGAGCAAACAGGAUUAGAUACCCGAGUAGUC
rnacentral:rRNA from 1 species